GGUCAAUUCUCUCAAGACUGUCUUCAGUCUCCCAGGCUGCCCUGAGAGGUAAAACAUAGCUGGAGGAGCAGAGUCAAGACUAUAAACACGUCACUUCAAGACAUCGAGCUGCCUGCUUUUCGGGAACCCUACUGAAGAGCACGUGGCCUGGCCUUGGCAACACUGCCUGGAGUGCAGGUCUUCACCAAAAGCAAUGGUUCACCUGACUCCAGUCACAUUUUCCACAACCGGAACAACCCUGAAAAUAAAAGAGAAAUUAAAAAUUAAACGUCUGAACUGGGUGACAAGCAGAACAUAUUGCAACGAGCCAGGGAUGUCAGAAGUACCACACUGACUGCAAGGUUGGUCAGCAUGGGGAAUGUUUGCUUAAGCACAUAUGGUAACAUGAGAGAAGUC